UACGGAGAGUUUGAUCCUGGCUCAGGAUGAACGCUGGCGGCGUGCCUAAUACAUGCAAGUCGAACGAGGCCCUUUGUAUUCGUACAAAGGUGUCCUAGUGGCGAACGGGUGAGUAACACGUAGGUGACCUGCCCCGAAGAGGGGGACAACCCCGGGAAACUGGGGCUAAUACCCCAUAACCUCCAGGGAGUUAGAGGGCCCUGGAGAAAAGGAGCAAUCCGCU
rnacentral:rRNA from 1 species